GCCUAGGGUAGAGGUGCUGUAAUUAAUAGUAUUUAUUUUUAAUCGGCAGAUGUUUGAGGAAUAAAGAAAGGAAUUACAGCCGAAAAGUUAGUUUGGCGAACCUAACUUUGGCUUUGCAUAUAAUAUGUGUAAGGCUGUCACUGAGAUAUACUUGGUGGAGAGCUACAAGGUAC
rnacentral:ncRNA from 2 species